CCUACGGGUGGCAGCAGUGGGGAAUAUUGCACAAUGGGGGAAACCCUGAUGCAGCGACGCCGCGUGAGUGAAGAAGUAUUUCGGUAUGUAAAGCUCUAUCAGCAGGGAAGAAAAUGCCGGUACCUGAUUAAGACGCCCCGGCUAACUACGUGCCAGCAGCCGCGGUAAUACGUAGGGGGCAAGCGUUAUCCGGAUUUCGUGGGUUUAAAGGGUGCGCAGGCGGAGGUGCAAGUCAGCGGUCAAAUUGCGGGGCUCAACCCCGUACAGCCGUUGAAACUGCAUCCCUUGAGUGAGCGAGAAGGAUGCGGAAUGCGUGGUGUAGCGGUGAAAUGCAGAGAUAUCACGCAGAACUCCGAUUGCGAAGGCAGCAUGCCGGCGCGCAACUGACGCUCAUGCACGAAAGCGUGUGUAUCGAACAGGAUUAGAUACCCUGGUAGUC
rnacentral:rRNA from 1 species